rnacentral:misc_RNA from 1 species
CUCCCCUCAAGCGCGGCUUGUGUGUUGGGCGCUGUCCCCCCGGGGACACGCCCCAAAGGCAGUGGCGGCGUCGCGUCGGGUCCUCGAGCGUAUGGGGCUUUGUCACCCGCUCGGGAGGGACCUGCGGGCGCUGGUCUUCCUUGCGCAGCCCUCUGGGUUGCUUCUCU